rnacentral:rRNA from 1 species
AGAGUUUGAUCAUGGCUCAGGAUUAACGCUGGCGGCGUGCAUGAGACAUGCAAGUCGAACGGACGAUCAGGGCUUGCUCUGAUCGUUAGUGGCGGACGGCUGAGUAACGCGUAGGUGACCUGCCCCGAAGUGGGGGAUAACUGCCCGAAAGGGUGGCUAAUACCGCAUGUGGUGGUUCGUUCGUUCGAACCAUCAAAGCAGUGAUGCGCUUCGGGAGGGGCCUGCGUCCGAUUAGCUCGUUGGUGGGGUAACGGCUCACCAAGGCGACGAUCGGUAGGUGGUCUGAGAGGACGAUCACCCAGACUGGGACUGAGACACGGCCCAGACUCCUACGGGAGGCAGCAGUCGGGAAUUUUGCGCAAUGGGCGAAAGCCUGACGCAGCAACGCCGCGUGAGGGAUGAAGGCCUUCGGGUUGUAAACCUCUUUUGUCAGGGACGAUGAUGACGGUACCUGACGAAUAAGCCACGGCUAACUACGUGCCAGCAGCCGCGGUAAUACGUAGGUGGCAAAGCGUUGUCCGGAUUUACUGGGCGUAAAGAGCGCGCAGGCGGUCGUUCAAGUCGCGUGUGAAAGCCCCCGGCUCAACUGGGGAGGGUCACGCGAUACUGAUCGACUCGAAGGCAGGAGAGGGAAGUGGAAUUCCCGGUGUAGUGGUGAAAUGCGUAGAUAUCGGGAGGAACACCAGUGGCGGAGGCGACUUCCUGGCCUGUUCUUGACGCUGAGGCCGAAAGCUAGGGGACAAACGGGAUUAGAUACCCUAGUAGUCC